rnacentral:rRNA from 1 species
ACAGUCGUUCAGAGUUUGAUCCUGGCUCAGGAUGAACGCUAGCGGCAGGCUUAACACAUGCAAGUCGAGGGGCAGCAUGACACGGAGAUUCGUCGAAGUGUUGAUGGCGACCGGCGCAAGGGUGUGUAACGCGUGAGCAACUUGCCCGUUUCAGGGGGAUAACCGGUGGAAACGCCGACUAAUACCCCAUGGUAUGUUUUUAAGGCAUCUUUUAAACAUUAAAGAAUUUCGGAAACGGAUAGGCUCGCGUGACAUUAGCUAGAUGGCGGGGUAACGGCCCACCAUGGCGACGAUGUCUAGGGGUUCUGAGAGGAAGGUCCCCCACACUGGAACUGAGACACGGUCCAG